CCUUAGUCAUCUGAGAAGGUAAGUAUAUCUAGUAGCUAUCCCAAAGCCACAUUCGCAUGUUUUCAAAAAUGUUUUCGAGAAAAAACCUAAUUAAGUUUUGAGUAAGGUUUAUAAAAUUGAGGAAUCAGGAUUGAUAAUCAAAUAAGUGAAAGCAAUUGAAAAAUGGUGAUACUGAAUAUUUUAAUUUGUCAUUUGCUUGUUGCUUGAUUAUUGAAUGAAUAUUGCAUGUUUUAAAUACUAUAUGGUUGAUGAUUGAUGGUACGAUGAGUUGAAUAGUCUGAGUAAAAAAUUAAUAAUAGUGCAAAUUCACCAAUAAGAUCAUGAACACAUAAAAUAAUUCUCACAAAUAAAAUAAGAUUAACAAAAGAAAUACAUAUUCUUAGAUCAAAUUAGGGAUUCUAAAUAAAACUAAUAAAACUAAAAACUAAAAAUAAUAAAAACAUUAAAACAUGAAUAAUAAACAAAAUGAUAACUAAAUAAAUUACAUUAAACAUAAAGUGUGUGAUUAAGGGGAGUUAGUGAGUUCUAUAAG
rnacentral:lncRNA from 1 species